CAGAGGUACAGACGUGGUGCAUAUGUCUAUAGUACAUGCUGUCCAUGUAUUUGAUCCAGUCGACAAAUGAAACUGAAUGCUAGAUUUACUGUGUUGAGAUAACCAUGGGGGUGGCGUUGCAAAAUCUUCUACUUCAAACUCUAGAAAAUCAUCACACAGAAAAUUCAUAAUCACAGGCCGGAAUAAUCCAAAGGGUCUCCAUAAGGACCAUAUUUGUAUCAAUCAUAUAUGCUAAAUGACAAAAUUCUUAUUAAGUCAGUGUUUUACUAGAAAUCGAAAACUGGAUCUACAUAGUUUCGCGAACAUUAAUGAUAAACAGUAAAGCUGCCCGUAGGCUUCAAGCAUAUGAAACUAGAAAUGAUCUGGAACUGCCAACAUCAAAGUAACAUGCAUGUCCCAACUCUCCCAAAAGGAUAUGAAACUCAGAAGCAUACAAAUUAAAACCAGUCUUUAAAUUUCCAAUUUGGUAGCUAAAAACGAAGAGAUCGUUCACACGAUUUCUUCCUAAUCACAAUUAGCGAGUUAAUUCUUUAGCCAAUUACACCUCAACCAUCCACGUGUAAAAUUUCAGCAAUUUUUAUGGGAAAAAACAUAGAAAGAAAGGAACUUGUACUUGUUUCCCAUGAAUUAACAGCUGUUAAACAACAAUUGACAUCCAAGUAUGCAUUUAAUUGAACCCAUGAAUCAAUUCACAAAAAGAUGUCAAAAAAUUUUUGCGGGGGGGGGGGGGGGGGGGGGGGGANNNNNNNNNNNNNNNNNNNNNNNNNNNNNNNNNNNNNNNNGGGGAUAGAAUUAAGAGUUAGUAGGAGUCUUGAAGAAUUUAAUUACCUUAAGAGAGAGAGAAAUGCAACUUCUGCAAAAUCAAUUUUCCUUCUGGCUAUUGGACAAGUAUGAAGGCAAUUUACAUGGGAUUCUUAAACUACGACGGGAAUUUAUGUCGGCGUGGACUUCUUUAAAGACUCCUAUUCACUUCUAU
rnacentral:lncRNA from 1 species